rfam:Sorghum bicolor cultivar BTx623 chromosome 5, whole genome shotgun sequence.
AUUCCAUGAUGGGGACAUUCUAGGAUGUAGUCUUGAAAGCACUCCCAUGCAUCUGGAACAAAUUCAUCAUUUUGUUGCUGAAAACUUGUAAUCUUCCCACGGAGAGC